AUUGAACGCUGGCGGCAUGCCUUACACAUGCAAGUCGAACGGUAACAGGUCUUCGGAUGCUGACGAGUGGCGAACGGGUGAGUAAUACAUCGGAACGUGCCUAGUAGUGGGGGAUAACUACUCGAAAGAGUGGCCAAUACCGCAUGCGAUCUACGGAUGAAGGCAGGGGACCGCAAGACCUUGUGCUACUCGAGCGGCCGAUGGCAGAUUAGGUAGUUGGUGGGAUAAAAGCUUACCAAGCCGACGAUCUGUAGCUGGUCUGAGAGGACGAUCAGCCACACUGGGACUGAGACACGGCCCAGACUCCUACGGGAGGCAGCAGUGAGGAAUUUUGGACAAUGGGCGCAAGCCUGAUCCAGCAAUGCCGCGUGCAGGAUGAAGGCCUUCGGGUUGUAAACUGCUUUUGUACGGAACGAAAAGCCCUGGGUUAAUACCCUGGGGUCAUGACGGUACCGUAAGAAUAAGCACCGGCUAACUACGUGCCAGCCGCCGCAGUAACAC
rnacentral:rRNA from 1 species